GGUCACUCUGGUAGCACAUUACUAAAAGUGAAAUGAUAAGAGAAAGUUAGCAAGGCCCCUGCCCAUGGACAUAUAAAUUCAUGAAGUGUUCCAUAUUAAA
rnacentral:snRNA from 1 species